UUAUUUAAUUCAUAGUAAAUAUAAAUAUAAGUGCAUUUGAAAAUAAAGGUAAUGCUAUAUAAUAUUAUGUUGUUGAGGGUUUAUUGAUUAUUAUGAAAAUAAUAGGGAGUAAGUGGUGGUAUACAUUGAUUUUGCGAGAAACGGGCAAAUCUCCUUUGGUUUUCUUGGAAAUAGUGUCACAUUUCACUGAGAACCUUAUACUCUAUUUUAUUUAUAAAAUAUUCAUAAGUAUAUUAUUAUACAAUAUUUUUUUUUUCCAUUCCGCCACAGGUUGCAUUUGCAUUUGCAACGUACAUCUUCAAAAUAGAUUUGAUGAUACAUAUUGCUUUUAUCUCUCUUGUUUUUUUUCAAGUGACCUUGGCUCAACGUAGAGUGGCAGUUGUGGAGUUAGCAAACCGGAGACUCACCUCCAUAUGUUUGUGCAUUUACUGGGAUCUUAUUAGUUCUCCCAAUUGAUACUUGCUCUAACACUUAUAUACUGUAUAUGCCACCAAGUGUAUAUGCUUACAGAUUGUAUAACGUCAAUCUUCACUCUGCACAUUUUUCUCUUAUGUACUUGCAUAUAAGCAUGAUAAUUUUAUACUGCACUUGGUCCUGUAACUUGUAGAUGUUUUGCCUUUUGCCUUUAUUCAGUUACUUGAAUGAUCAAGUAAUUUAGGCUCUUUAUACAAUUAUUAAAAAAAAAACAAUUAAGGGUAUUUUUCUUUUAGCUAUUUAGUAAACAAAAAAUAGUAAAGAUACAAAACAUUGACAAAAAAAUUGACUAGGAAGAUAUUAAAUUUAGCCCAAUUUUAGCAUUAUUUUUUUCAAUGCAUUUUUUAUGUCUAAAUAUUAAUGUUGGUAAGAACUUGCAACUUGAUUUACACAACCUGUCUAUUUAUUUUCUAAAUCUGAUUACAGACAUAAUGGCAUGAGAUAUACUAAAUAUAUGAGAAAAAUUAACACUUAGUUUACUUGUAAAUGAAACUUAUUUCGAUUAAGCAUAAUUUUUAAAUAUGUACAGGGGCGGCCCUUCCUCUAGGCAACUUAGGUAGUUGUCUAAGGGCCCACUAUAUAUGAAAACCCCAAAUUUCUCUCCAAUAUUAUAACUAAUAAAUUAUUUA
rnacentral:lncRNA from 1 species